UCCUCUUUGAGAAAAAAAAAAAAAAAAGUUUUGAUUCUGCCCUCACCUGAGAAGAAGCAAAGCUAGGUCGUGUUGUUGCCGUCGCCUAAGAAGAAGCAAUCUGUCGAUACUACUUCGCUAGUUCACUGCUGAUUUGCUGUUGAUGGAGGUAUUGCGAUGUUCAGGAUUCAGGUAAUAGAAAACUUUUUUUGCUCUAUUACACAAGAUUAAUUUUUAAACUUAGAUCCUUUUGAGAUUUUGCUUUACAUGCUCGGAGAUAUUUUCCUUCUGAUUUUGAAAAUCUUGAACCAUUAAUACACGAGAUUGGAAAUCUAAGCUGAAAGUUUUCCUUCUUUAUGGAACUUUUUACUGAUAUGACUGAGGAGCCUCAACCCGAAGCUUAAACAGCUCAUAGAUUGCAACUCCGUAGCCCUAAUCUCGUCGCCUCUUCACAUCCAUACCCCAAGAUUCACUUAGGCUCUAUCUGGAGGUCCCUUGGUACAAGCUCGCAACUUCACCGUCAUGACUGAUGUCAAUACUGGCAUAUCUUGUGUCCUGAAAAGAUUGGGAGGCAAGAAGGAUGUUCAAUCCAAGUCAGGGUUUUAUUAUCAUUUUCCUUCAUCUAUUCAAUUAAUUUUAUUAUUCUUUUUCAUGACCAAUCUCUGAUAAGUAUCAUUACUUAAAAGAUAGUUGUAUAGGACCAAAAUGUGUGAACAUGUAAAAUUUCUUCUUAAUAUGACAUUCUAAGAUGUUUAUUUUGGUGGCAUUUUACAACAUUCUAAGAUGUUUCACUACAUCUAAUUGAUAUUCUAAGUGGUUUUUCUCAUUCAA